CAUAUGCACAGUAGGGGGGGAGGGGAACAGCUUCACUGAAAUCCCUCUGCCUUUCUAGUAGUAAUGAGUUCUGGGAGGGAGGACAGCCCACAGAGAACAUGCUACACAGAGUACCCUACAUGCCAUCUUUGGCACUUGUGCCAUAGGGUGACCUAUUUGGAGGCCCCAGAGAGAUUAGAAGUUGUUGCUGCCUGAGCCACCUUCCAGGUGUGAGAAUCCCACAGGAACAGGAGUUCCAAUCAAGAAUCAACUGGAUAGGUUGGCUGGUCAUUUUCCUAGGGAGAAAAAACUCGCAGACAAGGUUACCCUAGAGCUUGAACCUGAAGGAGUCCAUCUAAGACAUCUGUACAGGGAAACGUGAGCCAAAUGGGAAGGACUUCACCAAGUCUCCGAAGAUUCCUAAUAUAGCCAACAAUGAAACUGUUUGAGAAUCUGUCUAUUGCAAAGGAGAUUUCAACAAAAGAAGGCCACUGAAGUCUACCUUGGAUCCCCAAGACCUGAAAGACAAAAUAGACUGUGGGAAAUGGGGAAGUGUUUUCUGUUAAGGUUUUUUUCCUUCUAAACCCUUACUUUCUGUCUUGGAAUCAAUGCUGUGUAUUGGUUCCAAGGCAGAAGAGUGGUAAGGGCUCAGCAAUGGGAGUUAAGUGACUUGCCCAGGGUCACACAGCUAGGAAGUGUCUGAGGCCAGAUUUGAAUCUACGACCUCCCAUCUGUAGGCCUGGCUCUCAAUCCACUGAGCUACCCCCUCUGUUAAGAUUUUCUUGAAGCAGAGUGCCUGCUUUCUGGCCAUCAUUGCAUCUCUGCCAAUGAGGAGAAGCCAGCUGUCUAUGCUAGGUCCUUCGUCUUCCUACUACUAUUGGUAACAGAGGGUCAGAGUCUCCUUGGCACACUGCCCCUUGUUAUGGUCAGUGUAACUGCUAUGAGUAGAAGGGGGAAAUUACAACCUUGUUUUAUGAAACUCUAAAUUUACCUUUGACCCAUGGGAAAUUGCCUUCAAGAAACUCCAACUGACCCAUGUCAGACAUCAAGAAUCCAUUGAGCACUGUAAGGGGAAAAGGGGUUUAUUUAUAUAAAAAAGGUUGGACUGGAUUAUAUUUAAAUAUAGGGUCACCAGGAAUUUAAUUUAUUCCAAAGAGAUUUAUUUACAAAAUAUAGAAAGAAUGAAGUAGGAAAUCAGAGAGGAUAGGGUACGAUAUCUAGCCUAAGCACUAAGUAAUUUACUCCCAGUCCCUGGCUCAACCCAGUCAGGGAGAGUUAAUUUAGCCAGAGAGGCCUUAGCUGAGGACCUGGGGAAGUCUCUCUCAAGAGGUAGGUCUCUCCUGAGGCUACCUUCUUCAGAAAAUAUCCAGGAAAAGGAGUCGGCUUUUUUCAUUCAUGCUGUAAGUCCAAAAGAAGAGAUUUAAGAACAGCCUCACCAGGAACAGGGUCUUAGGUCCAGUCAGUAGAUUCUUCUCCAGUAUCAACUCCAAAGAAUGAAGAACUCCCUCUCACAGGAAGUUCUACUCCAACUAGAACUCCAAGUAAAACUGUACUCAGGAAGUUGUUACUCCCUUUUAAAGACACUUUUUUUUGCAUCACUUCCUGUGCCUUCCCCUAUUUUUACAUCUACCAAUCACAGUUGAAGCUUUGCUUUAGGACUGCCCAGGGGCAGUCAGUUUAAUUCUGGCUCAUCACCCACUAUUGCACAUGUGCAUCACAGACCUCCCCCACUCAAGUAUGAAUGGGGUGUUUAUACCUUUGGUGAUUAAAUCUAAAAAUGGGCAGGGGUUACAAUUUAAUCUUCAUAAUCAGGGGAGAGUUAAAUUUAAUUUUCACAGCAUCCUGGAUGGAAUCAGGUCUUAAGUACCUUUUUUCUUCUAAGUUUCUCUUAGCAUGUAGGCUGUUCUCAGGGAUUCCAGCCUAAUCCUCUUUGCCUGGCCCUCAUGUAACCAGGCAGUUGUUUCUCUUUGGUUAGAUUCCCUAAGGAAUAAGUAGAAUAACAAAUUCUUUAGUUUGGUGGAAAUUCCCAUUCAUGUUUUGUUUUGUUUUUUCUUUCCUGGAGAUAAUGUUCCCAGAGUCUGAGAGCUUGGCUCUGUAUGGUGCAUGUAUGACUGUGUGGUGGCCAUAAGAGCAUUGUCACCCUUGUCCUGAUUAAAGACUUGUUCAUUUGUAAUUGCUUGGGUGGUUCUGCGUUUUCCCAGCCUCUUCACUGGGAACUCGAUAGGCCUUGUUACUCAUACUUCAGCAGAACCCUCUGCCCUUUUCAUAUUGAUCAUAAGCUCUUUUGAGGGUAACUUUCAAGUUUCUUUUGUGUUGAACUGUAAGCUCCUUGAAGACAAGGAUUUUCUUUUUCUUUGUGCAGAAAUGAGCAAAACUUGACCUAAAAUGGUAUUUAACAUACCAUUAGCAUCCCAUUGAUAUCGCAGUUUGCUCCCCUCAAGUGGAAAGUGAACCAUGGGUAAAGUUACACAGACCAAAGUGGAGGUUGGGCAAAGUGAUGGCAGUUCCAUAGAGACCAAGGGCAAUAACUGCCCAAGCAAACGCCCCCUUCCUUAGUAACUGGGAUAGAAAGCAUUCCUGAGAACUUCUACUUACCUCUUACACUUUACUCUCGCUAACUCUGUACUUUUACUUACCACACUUCUUCACCUUCCCUUAAUUGCUAACUUAUUAUACUAGAGACUCUAUUACUAUAUUCCCUUAUAUUAAAGCUUGUUUCUGCAUAAUGAUGUCAGUUUGAACCAUCAAUUAAUUCUUGGGAUAAGACCCAAUUAGCAUUAACCCCAUCAAUUUCUUGUCUCUAAAAAUGCAAUUCUUAUUUAUUUCAUUUCUUAUUCAAAAUUCUGAUUUCUUCUCUUUCAUGAACUUUGGUCUGGUCAAACUAUCCUACUAGUUUGCCUCUUAGAAUCCCUGGCUUCUUUCAAAACUCAGUUCAAGUACUACCUACUAUGAGAAGCCUUUCCUGAUUUCUCAAUUCCUACCUUCACGUCAUUUAACAUUUGAGGAAAUGAAAGCCCAUAAGGGAAUAAUUUGCCCAGUGAAUGUCACAUAGUAAGAAGCAGAAUUGAAAUUUGAACCCAGAGUCUUUGAUACCAAAGGCAAUUUUCUUUCUACAUCACAAUGCUUCUCCUCCCUUGGCCUACCUAGUGAGACUGGACUUCCCUAAGAGUGGUGGAGCCUGACCAAAGGUCAGAAGAGGUAUCAUGAGAACAACAGGGCUGGCUCUCCUGAACCAGAAGAAAUGUGGACAACAAAUGGAACUAUUCAUCACAGAGCUGCUGGGCAGUCUAACACUCUGACAGAUGCUCACUGUUGUAAUGCUGAAAAUGACAUGAGAGAAAUUUGAAGCAAGUUAUAUGAUGCCUCAGAAUGGAUGUUUACCCUCAAGGAAAGCCCCAGAGGGAAGACUGAGUGAAGAGUUUUCAGCCUUUUCCUCCCCAGAGACCUACAAAAGGAAGAAAAGCUCCAAGAAUCUGAAAUUAGCCCUCAGCAUCAGGCAAGGACAGACCCCUCCCCGCCGGAGUGUGCAAAGCUGUUCCAGGAUGCCUGCCCCAGAGAGGGGAGCUAGAGGUCCUGCCUCAGGAACUUCUGACCCCAAUACCAAGCCAGGGGUAGACUUGAUGAAGA